rnacentral:rRNA from 1 species
GUAGGGAAUAUUGCGCAAUGGACGAAAGUCUGACGCAGCGACGCCGCGUGAGUGAUGAAGGCCUUAGGGUCGUAAAGCUCUGUUGAAUGGGAAGAAAAAAAUGACGGUACCAUUCGAGGAAGGACCGGCUAACUUCGUGCCAGCAGCCGCGGUAAUACGAGGGGUCCUAGCGUUGUUCGGAAUCAUUGGGCGUAAAGGGUGUGUAGGUGGCCAUGUAAGUCAGGUGUGAAAGCACCGGGCUCAACCCGGGAAGUGCACUUGAUACUGCGUGGCUUGAGUACCGAAGAGGGUAGUGGAAUUCCAGGUGUAGUGGUGAAAUACGUAGAUAUCUGGAGGAACACCGGUGGCGAAGGCGGCUACCUGGUCGAGUACUGACACUGAGACACGAAAGCAUGGGGAUCAAACAGGAUUAGAUACCCCAGUAGUCC